rnacentral:rRNA from 1 species
GGUUAAACCGCAAAUAAGUGCAGAUGGUGGAUGCCUUGGUAUGGAAUGACGAUGAAGGACGUAGCAGCCUGCGAUAAGCCUCGGUGAGGUGGCAAGCAACCUUUGACCCGGGGAUAUCCGAAUGGGGUAACCCAAUCUGAUGGAAGAUCAGAUUAUCAGCCGCUGAAUUCAUAGGCGGUUAGAAGACAACCUGGGGAAGUGAAACAUCUCAGUACCCAGAGGAAGAGAAAACACCGAUACGUGGUUCUGUUGCUAUCACUCGCGCAAACGUUUGUGAGUGGUAGUAGCAGUGCCACAUAAUUCCCGGAGUAGUGGCGAGCGAAACGGGACCAGCCCAAACUUAGUGACGCUUGAACUUGCGAUGCGUGUAUAUCUUUUGAUAGAUACGAAGCGCGGGUUUUAAGGCUCAUUCAGCCAAUGUGUUUCUAAGCGUAGUAAGAUAGUAGCGUCUUGAGAGUGAAUGAUUCUCAAGGGGAGAAUUAGAAAUCAAAACUUUCCUAGUCGAAUGGCCUGGAACGGCCAGCCAAAGAAGGUGACAGCCCUGUAGGCGAAAGGAGUUUUGGGCUCCUAGUUAUUAUUCUUGAGUACCACGGGACUCGUGAAAUCCAGUGGGAAGCAAGCGCGACUAUGCGUUAAGGCUAAAUACAUUCCAUAACCGAUAGUGAACUAGUACCGUGAGGGAAAGGUGAAAAGCACCCCGGUGAGGGGGAUGAAAUAGUACCUGAAACCAUCUGCUUACAAGGAGUCAGAGCGCUUACCACUUCAGCGUAGGUUUUUUGCUUAUGGCCCUCGUGCUAGUCAGAUACCGUACCGCCUGUUAUCGCAGGUUAGGCGGCUGUACUGGGAACGAGCUGUAGGCGAACCUACGCUGAAGUGGUGCGUGAUGGCGUGCCUAUUGAAGAAUGAGCCAACGAGUUAGCUGGUAGUAGCUGAUUAAGUCCUACGGGACGUAGUCAAAGUGAAAGCGAGGCUUAACAGCCGUACUGAGUUUGAAAAGCGAUGCGUGUAUUUUCACGCCGCGCUUUUCUUACUCAAAAGCUGCUAUCACUAGACCCGAAACCGGGUGACCUAGCCAUGACCAGGGUGAAGCACAGGUAACACUGUGUGGAGGCCCGAACCCACGCGCCGUGCAAAACGCGGGGAUGAGUUGUGGCUCGCAGAGAAAUUCUAAUCGAACUCGGUAAUAGCUGGUUCUCCUCGAAAUAGUUUUAGGACUAGCCUGUUCCAUCGUUCCUGAUGGUAGAGCACUGAAUGGGUUUCCAUGGCGUAAGCCUAGGCGAUCCAACCAAACUCCGAAUGUCAGGAAACGUAAGGAAUGGAGUCAGAGCGUGAGGGCUAAGCUUCACCGCUCAAAAGGGAAACAGCCCAUGAUCACCAAAUAAGGUCCCUAAAUUUCAGCUAAGUGUUAAAGGCGGUCUCGUCGCUUAAACAACCAGGAGGUUGGCUUAGAAGCAGCCACCCUUUAAAGAAAGCGUAACAGCUCACUGGUCUAGCGCUGGGGCGCCGAAAAUGUACCGGGGCUAAAGCUGAAUACCGAAUUUGUGGGCCCGUCGUAAGACGGGCGGUAGAGGAGCGUCCUCUGCUGCCGUGAAGCCCCAGCCGUGAGGCGGGGUGGAGCGCAGAGGAGUGCGAAUGUUGGCAUAAGUAGCAAAAAGACUAGUGAAAACCUAGUCCACCGUAAACCUAAGGUUUCCUGGGCAACGCAAAUCGACCCAGGGUGAGGCGGGCCUAAGGCGAGGCUGAAAAGCGUAGCCGAUGGACAGCAGGUUAAUAUUCCUGCCCCGCCAUUAAGUUUCAAUGGGGUGACGUCGUUUUUAAGGUUCUGCGCGAUUUGGUUAUGCGCGUGUACCGUGAAGCCGUGCCUGGUAGGUAAAUCCGCCAGGAUAAUCGGCAGGCGCGGGACGUAGGGAAAGGGGCAACCCCGACCCGACAGAACUGGCGAGACGGCCUAGAAAAACCUCUAGAGUUAACUUAAUGGUGACCGUACCGGAAACCGACACAGGUGGGUGAGGCGAGUAGCCUCAGGUGUACGAGAGAACCCUUGUUUAGGAACUCGGCAAUACAACGGCCGUAACUUCGGAAUAAGGCCUACCCGUCGCAAGACGGGUCGCAGUAAAAGACGUCAACCGACUGUUUAUCAAAAACACAGGUCCCUGCAAAGCCGCAAGGCAACGUAUAGGGGCUGAUGCCUGGCCAGUGUCAGAACGUUAAGGCAAGAGGUCAUUCCGCCGCAAGGCGGAGGCAGCCUUGAACUGAAGCGCUGAUGAACGCCGGCGGUAACUAUAACCGUCCUAAGGUAGCGAAAUUCCUUGUCGGGUAAGUUCCGACCUGCACGAAUGGCAUAACGAGUUGACGACUGUCUCAACAAGGGACUCGGUGAAAUUGCAAGACCCGUGAAGAUGCGGGUUACCCACGGCUAGACGAAAAGACCCCGUGAAGCUUUACUACAACUUGGUAUUGAGCAUUAUAAGUGCUUGCUCAGCAUAGGUGGGACGCUUUGAAGCCCUGACUCCGGUUGGGGCUGAGCGGAAAUAUGAGAUACCACCCUGGCGGUUUUAGUGUUCUAACCUCAUGCCGUUAUCCGGCUGAGGGACAGUAUCUGGCAGGUAGUUUGACUGGGGCGGUCGCCUCCUAAAAUGUAACGGAGGCGUUUACUAAGGUUGGCUAGCUCCCGAUGGAAACGGGAGUGAUAGGGCAAACCCACAAGCCAGCUUUACUGCAAGGGCUACAACCCGAGCAGUUGCGAAAGCAGAAGUUAGUGAUCCGACGAUCCAAUAUAGGAUGGUCGAAGCUCAACGGAUAAAAGUUACUCCGGGGAUAACAGGCUGAUCGGGUCCAAGAGUCCACAUCGACGACCCGGUUUGGCACCUUAACAUAUCGGGGUGCAUGAACAGUGAUGUUUUUCCCAAUCUUUUCGUUUAAUUAAAUAAUUUAGACAGGAAUCAAGAUCAAUAAUCGGCUUAUAACGGUGAACCCGUCAGUCCGCCCAGGGCGGACCCGGCAACACCGUGGGAAGUUCAACCUUCGCUCGCUUUUGGCGAGCUUCGGCUGACAGGCGUCUAUAAAGUUAGAUUGCUUGUACACCGUAGCUUUAGCGGAGGAGUAACCCCGUAACGACUGACCCGAAAGGGAAGAGCCCGCCAACGGCGGGCUAACACGCCGACUCUUGCAGUGAAAUCUGAGGUUAUGCGGUUCACGUUCGCCUAGGCGAAUCCGCUACGAUCCAGGGCAAGAAGAAGAUAUAGUCUGCGCCACAUGAAAGUGUGGAAUCAAGUACGAUGUCGGCUCAUCGCAUCCUGGGGCUGGAGAAGGUCCCAAUGGUUUGGCUGUUCGCCAAUUAAAGCGGUACGCGAGCUGGGUUCAGAACGUCGUGAGACAGUUCGGUCUCCUGUCUGUCGUGGGCGUGCGAAACUUGAGAAGGCUCUUCCCUAGUACGAGAGGACCGGGAAGAACGAACCUCUAGUGCACCAGUUGGUCUACCAAGGCCAUCGCUGGGUAGCUACGUUCGGCGCGGAUAAACGCUGAAAGCAUCUAAGCGUGAAGCCGUCUUCAAGAUUAGGUUUCGUUGAGGAACCAGAGAGAACAUCUGGUUGAUAGGUGGUAGGUGUAAGGCCCGUAAGGGUUUAAGCCGAGCCAUACUAAUCGUCCGAUGGUUUAACCAC